GAGUGACAUGUUGCUAUAAACAACCCUGUGUUUUCAAUAUGUGGAGCUUUAUCUGCAUUCUGAUCACACUAUCGUGUUCAUGAGAGAUUUCCCUACGUCAUGUAAUAAUAUAUUUCUGCACUCAAUGAACAACUGUUUAAAAUAAUGAGCAUAGUCAAAACAUGUUAUAAACAUUUUUUUAACAUCUUCACAGUUCAACUCAUCGUAAUACCAUUUUCUUUUUUGUUUUGUCGAGUUUUUACAAUACAUCUUGAUUCUACAGUCACUGCUGAGUCUGAUGGUGUCAACCAAAACUGGCUUGCUCGUAUAUGAGGUGAGCUAUGGCAUAUAAUAAAGAAACAUGUCUCACUCGAGCAUGCAAGAUGUGGUCCGACAUGAGUGUUAGCGGGAGAGCGGAGCAGCCAAUCAGCUGCAAGCUUACCAAUCUGCCUAGGCGCCAGGAAUCAAGUGAACAGACUAUACUACUACUACUACUACUACUAAAGACAGGGAGAGAGAGGUACCUGUAUUAUGGAGUCAGAUGUACACCUGCCACCACCACCUACACCACCGCCGCCCGUCGUCAGCCAUUUCGUGUCAGUAGCAACAAUUCUUCACUCAUUCCGCUGCGUGACUACCAUGUUUUUUGAUUUCCUUUACACGUGAGUCCUGUGGCUGGCAGCUGUCUUGGCUUCCUUGGUAUAACUUUCUUAGGGCGUACAUACAAUAACCUCAGUUUCUUUUUUUUCUGGCGUCUAAGUUCAUGUCUCCUUGCUUGUUAUGUUGCCGUUUUUAUUUCAACAUACCACUCAGCCUGUGCUCGCCCCACCACGCCGCGCAAAAGGGUAGUGGACGGUCCUCAAGCCCCUGGACAGGCCAUGUGGGGCAGCUUCCCGUUCAUGGCCGAGCACUUCGCCUCAGUCGUGGCGUGAGGUCAGGGAACUUAGCUGCCAUACUACAGAAGUAAUGCUAUAAAGUGUGGUCAUGUUGGUUGAUGUGCUUAUUAUUAUCAGGGAACUUGACUGUCAUACUAUGGAAGUGAUCCUAUAAAAUGUGGUCAUGUUGUAUGGUGGGCUUACUAAUAUUAUUAUUUCUUUCCGCCAUAGAUGAAUAAACCUCCCCGCGUAUCCACCCUCUUAACCAUCUCAACCUUAAGGGGCUAUUACACUGGGCAAAUUUUCCGUGGAUCUUCAGUCAAACCACGAUUUCCGUUGGCGUGGUUCUCAUAUUUCCGUGGUUUUCUGACGUGUCCAUGAUCUUCCAAAGCUACGUUAGAUUUCAUCGAAGAACGACGGUAUUACUCACCAUCAUCAUCAGCAGCAAUAACAAGAAACAAGAAAUCGUGGUUUGACUGAAGAUCCACGGAAAAUUUGCCCAGUGUAAUAGCCCCUUUAAACUUCCUACUGUUAUGUUUCUUGCUUGUCACGCUGGUGGAUGGACUUCAUAUUAUUACGUACUAUUUAUUUUCGCCACAGAUGAAGGAACCGCCAUUACAAUCAUUACCAUUAUUACAAACGCACACAGCUGACAAUAGUACAAGUGUUACGUUUUGGUGAGUGACUCGUCCAUUCACUACUUGCUUCAAUGCUUCGAGAGGAUAACAAGCGAUCGACUACACAAACCGGUGCUCAUCUCAUUCGAUUGUGUUGUCAGCUAGUUUCAUUUCGCAGCUAACUAAAAGAAAUAUUAAAGAAUCCUUACAUGUUUUAAAGUCUCUAAGGAACGCCGAUUAGGUACUACACACACGCGCACGCCACACGCAGAUACACUUCCUUAGACACGAUUACCACUCAAACACUCACUUUUUCACUAGUUAACCAGGUAUUCAACUAGUCAAUCAAAUAAUCCCUAUAAAGUUUAAAAUCUCUAAAGAACGAAAAUUAGGUACUACAUACACGCGCACGCCACACGCAGAUACACUUCCUUAGACACGAUUACUACUCAAACACUCACUUUUCACUAGUUAACCAGGUAUUCAACUAGGCACGUGCGGUGAUGAAGCUUCAUGUGUUUAGGUAUCCUACCAGAGUUAUUUUUGGUGGUUAUUUUGCGUAUUUUCACCACAGAGCUCGGUAUCAUAUCUCUCGUUUACUUGCCAGCGGUCAGAAGGCUACCAGGUAUUAGUCAGACAACACGCACUCGCUCUUACACUAGAAACAACACAGUACUGGCGUAAACAUCUCUUUCUCGCCCCUUCCUGAUGCCUGACGUCGCCUGCUUGUGCUCGGGCGUUCCCAGAAAUGAAAGCAGUUGACAAGACACGCGAAUAGGAUGAGAACCAGUUUGCGGAUGACGAUGUGUUGUGCGAUAUAUGUGAACAUCAAAAUAUCUGCAGGAGUGUCUAUUUAUCAUUUCCAGGCUAAUGAAGAUCGCAAAAUAUAAGUGUUUGAUAAUGAGUUAGAUUGGGUGGCAGUAUUUGUGUGGGUGCGAGAGUUUAUGGUUACAAAUCGAUCUAUACAAUGUGAUGAUGAUCUGGUAUACAGCGUCUUGUAAUCCCUUCCAAUCUAUUAAAGAGUGUGAAAAAAAAUGCUUGACAAGGAGUUAGAUUGGGUGGCGGUAUUUGUGUGGGUGCGAUAGUUUAUGGUUACAAAUCGAUCUAUACAAUGUGAUUAUGAUCUGGUAUACAGCGUCUUGUAAUCCCUUCCAAUCUAUUAAAGAGUGUGAAAAAAAGUGCUUGACAAGGAGUUAGAUUGGGAAGCGGUAUUUGUGUGGGUGCGAUAGUUUACGGUUACAAAUCGAUCUAUACAAUGUGAUUAUGAUCUGGUAUACAGCGUCUUGUAAUCCCUUCCAAUCUAUUAAAGAGUGUGAAAAAAAAUGCUUGACAAGGAGUUAGAUUGGGUGGCGGUAUUUGUGUGGGUGCGAUAGUUUAUGGUUACAAAUCGAUCUAUACAAUGUGAUUAUGAUCUGGUAUACAGCGUCUUGUAAUCCCUUCCAAUCUAUUAAAGAAACGUGAAAAAUAAGUGUUUGACAAGGAGUUAGAUUGGGUGGCGGUAUUUGUGUGGGUGCGAGAGUUUAUGUCCAGAAGCCGAUCUAUACAAUGUGAUGAUGAUCUGGUAUACAGCGUCUUUUAAUCCUUUCCAGUCUAAUAAAAAACGUGAAAAAUAAGUGCUUGACAAGGAGUUAGAUUGGGUGGCGGUAUUUGUGUGGGUGCGAUAGCUUAUGAUCAGAAAUCGAUUUUUACAAUGUGAUUAUGAUCUGGUAUUAUGAUCUGGUGUUUUAAUCCCUUCCAGUCUAACAAAGAACGUGAAAAAUAAGUGCUUGACGAGGAGUUAGAUUGGGAAGCGGUAUUUGUGUGGGUGCGAUAGUUUAUGGUCAGAAAUCGAUCUAUACAAUGUGAUUAUGAUCUGGUAUACAGCGUCUUUUAAUCCCUUCCAGUCUAAUAAAGAACGUGAAAAAUAAGUGUUUGACAAGGAGUUAGAUUGGGUGGCGGUAUUUGUGUGGGUGCGAGAGCUUAUGUCCAGAAGCCGAUCUAUACAAUGUGAUGAUGAUCUGGUAAACAGCGUCUUUUAAUCCUUUCCAGUCUAAUGAAGGUGAAAAAUAAGUGUUUAAAGCAAUAAGUUCGACUGGAUAGUGGUAUUUGUGUGAGAGUGAUAGUUUAUGGUCAGAAGCCAAUAUUUACAAUGUGAUGAUGAUCUGGUAUACAGCGUCUUUUAAUCCUUUCCAGUCUAAUGAAGAAGGUGAAAAUUAAGUGUUAAAAGCAAUAAGUUCGACUGGAUAGCGGUAUUUGUGUGAGAGCGAUAGUUUAUGGUCAGAAGUCGAUCAGUACAAUGGGAUGAUGAUAUGGUAAGCUGGAACUUGCCACGCAGAUGUUUAUUCUAAGACAAAAUUGAGCAUGAGAAGCAUAACAGAUGAAAAAAUAUACCAGAUUACAAUAAUAUGAUGCUCUCCAUAUCACUCGCUCUGUUGAAACCCUUUUGUCCUCGUGAAUUUCAACACUAAACUGAUGAUUGCUUUCCUAAAUCCAUUAAUUUUGUAUAAUUCUAGGAACACUUAGUGCUUAUCUAUAUAUCUUCCUUGACACCACACAGGAAUACCAAAAUACCUACCUUUGUUUGAUGCAGCGAUGGAAAAAAAUUACAACACUGCUUGAUUUCCUUCUGUGGCACCAUGAUCUGCCACACAAUAGUAUAGUCAAAUGUACAGCAAGGGAGCGGGGAGGAAUAAAUGGGUGCGAGGGGAGGAAGUUCGUUAUAUAUAUAUACAUAGUAGUGGUAGCAGUAGUAGUAAUAGUAGUGGUAGUAGUAGUAGUAGUAGUAGUAGUAGUAGCAUGGUAGUAGCAGCACCGCACUCGUCCUCUAAAUGUUCGCACUCAGUAACAAAACAAUAUCUUUCUGGAGUCUACUCAAUAAAUUGUUACACACACAAAAAAAAA